AGGCUUUUGAGAAAGAAAGAAUAGAGAGAAAUAGCGAGAGAGAGAGGCGGACAAGCUUGAGAGUGAGGAAGAAAUUGAGGGAUUAAGUGUGGUGAUUAUUCAAGGUUAUGGAAGCAAUGAUGGAUCCAUUAGAGAAGCAAAAAAAAACGUUUUUGACCAAGCCCUCAAAUUUUCAAGCAAAUUGUGUCAUAAAAGCCUAAGGUAUGAGGCAGCAUAUACAUGUUGUGUGGAUAAACACUAAAGGUACCGAAGUUUGAUUUGCUGAUCCACCUGUUUAGGAUAUUUACUGCGUCGUUGACAGUUCUCCCUUGUUCGGAGCUUGUAUUUUGGUACUGACUUUAUCUCUGUAUAUUUGGAUAUUUUGGUCAGGGGUACGACGGGGCCCUGUCCCAUCAUAUGACUAUGCUAUCAUCUGUAGAGGUCUGUAGACAGAGUUAUGUUGUGGGUUUGUA